rnacentral:rRNA from 2 species
GCGGAGGAAAAGAAACUAACAAGGAUUCCCCUAGUAACGGCGAGUGAAGCGGGAAGAGCUCAAAUUUGUAAUCUGGCACUUUCAGUGUCCGAGUUGUAAUCUCGAGAAGUGUUUUCCGCGCCGGACCGCAUACAAGUCUGUUGGAAUACAGCGUCAUAGUGGUGAGAACCCCGUAACUGAUGCGGAUGCCCGGUGCUUUGUGAUACACUUUCGAAGAGUCGAGUUGUUUGGGAAUGCAGCUCAAAUUGGGUGGUAAAUUCCAUCUAAAGCUAAAUAUUGGCGAGAGACCGAUAGCGAACAAGUACCGUGAGGGAAAGAUGAAAAGCACUUUGGAAAGAGAGUUAACAGUACGUGAAAUUGUUGGAAGGGAAACGAUUGAAGUCAGACUUGUUAUCUGGAGUUCAGCCUUUCGGUGUACUCUCCAGUUUACAGGCCAGCAUCAGUUUUCGGGGCGGGAAAAUCGUAAUUAGAAGGUAGCAGCCUAGCUGUGUUAUAGCUUUUUACUGGAUUCCGCUUUGGGGACUGAGGAACGCAGUGUGCUUUUAGCAAUACCCUCGGGUAUUUCACACUUAGGAUGCUGGUGGAAUGGCUUUAAACGACCCGUCUU